GGAAGUGGUGGCUCAUUGGUUAAGAUGUCGUACUUCUGAUUGGAAGGUCGUGAGUUCAAAUCCCAACGCUAUCA